UGGCCCAAGACCUCAGACC
rnacentral:miRNA from 2 species